rnacentral:rRNA from 1 species
CGCCAGACUCCUACGGGAGGCAGCAGUGGGGAAUAUUGCACAAUGGGGGGAACCCUGAUGCAGCGACGCCGCGUGGGUGAAGGAGUAUUUCGGUAUGUAAAGCCCUAUCAGCAGGGAAGAACAAUGACGGUACCUGACUAGGAAGCACCGGCUAAAUACGUGCCAGCAGCCGCGGUAAUACGUAUGGUGCAAGCGUUAUCCGGAUUUACUGGGUGUAAAGGGAGCGCAGGCGGCGCGUUAAGCCUGGUGUGAAAGCCCGGGGCUCAACCCCGGGACUGCAUUGGGAACUGCCCCGCUCGAGUGCCGGAGGGGCAGGCGGAAUUCCUAGUGUAGCGGUGAAAUGCGUAGAUAUUAGGAGGAACACCAGUGGCGAAGGCGGCCUGCUGGACGGUGUACUGACGCUGAGGCUCGAAAGCGUGGGGAGCAAACAGGAUUAGAUACCCCUGUA